rnacentral:rRNA from 1 species
CCCUUAGAUGUUCUGGGCUGCACGCGCGCUACACUGAAGGAAUCAGCGUGGCUUUCUCCCUGACCCGAAAGGGUUGGGAAACCCGUUGAAUCUCCUUCGUGAUAGGGAUUGGGGCUUGAAAUUGUUCCCCAUGAACGAGGAAUUCCCAGUAAGCGCGAGUCAUAAGCUCGCGUUGAUUACGUCCCUGCCCUUUGUACACACCGCCCGUCGCUACUACCGAUUGAACGGUUUAGUGAGGGCCUCGGAUUGGUCUCGGCCCGCUCUUUACCGGGCGGCGCCGUUGGUCGAGAAGACGCUCGAACUUGAUCGUUUAGAGGAAGUAAAAGUCGUAACA